UAAUACCGGAUACUGAUCCUCGCAGGCAUCUGCGAGGUUCGAAAGCUCCGGCGGUGCAGGAUGAGCCCGCGGCCUAUCAGCUAGUUGGUGAGGUAACGGCUCACCAAGGCGACGACGGGUAGCCGGCCUGAGAGGGCGACCGGCCACACUGGGACUGAGACACGGCCCAGACUCCUACGGGAGGCAGCAGUGGGGAAUAUUGCACAAUGGGCGAAAGCCUGAUGCAGCGACGCCGCGUGAGGGAUGACGGCCUUCGGGUUGUAAACCUCUUUCAGCAGGGAAGAAGCGAAAGUGACGGUACCUGCAGAAGAAGCGCCGGCUAACUACGUGCCAGCAGCCGCGGUAAUACGUAGGGCGCAAGCGUUGUCCGGAAUUAUUGGGCGUAAAGAGCUCGUAGGCGGCUUGUCACGUCGGUUGUGAAAGCCCGGGGCUUAACCCCGGGUCUGCAGUCGAUACGGGCAGGCUAGAGUUCGGUAGGGGAGAUCGGAAUUCCUGGUGUAGCGGUGAAAUGCGCAGAUAUCAGGAGGAACACCGGUGGCGAAGGCGGAUCUCUGGGCCGAUACUGACGCUGAGGAGCGAAAGCGUGGGGAGCGAACAGGAUUAGAUACCCUGGUAGUCCACGCCGUAAACGGUGGGCACUAGGUGUGGGCAACAUUCCACGUUGUCCGUGCCGCAGCUAACGCAUUAAGUGCCCCGCCUG
rnacentral:rRNA from 1 species